UCGCCGAAGGAUCGGCCCGCGUCGGAUUAGCUUGUUGGUGGGGUAAUGGCCCACCAAGGCGACGAUCCGUAGCUGGUCUGAGAGGAUGAUCAGCCACACUGGGACUGAGACACGGCCCAG
rnacentral:rRNA from 1 species